rnacentral:ncRNA from 1 species
CAUGAAUUUGAGGAAAUAGUUAUUAAUAUUCCUCUAGUUAAAGUAAUAAAAAAAAUCAUCUUAGUUGAAUUGUAUUAAGUAUUAAGAAUUAUGGAAGUUUUGAAUUAGUUAAUUUUAUUAAGUAUUGAUUAAAUAUGUGCCAGCUGUCGCGGUUAUACAUAUUAUAUAAAUAAAUGUUUUUGGUUUAUUAGUUAAGUUGAAAUUGUUAAUAAUUAUCUUAUUAAUUUUUAGGUGGAAUUAAAAAUUAUUAUUUAUGAUUAAUUUUGAUUGAUUGAAGCUAUGAAAUUUAUUUAUUAAACUAGGAUUAGAUACCCUAUUAUUGUAAAUAUAAAUCUUUAAACUUAAGUAGUAAUAGAUAUGGUCUUGAAACUUAAAGAAUUUGGCGGUAUUUUAGUCUGUUUAGAGGAAUCUGUCCCGUAAUCGAUAGUCCACGUUGAACCUGACUUGAUUAAUAUAGUAUGUAUACCGCCGUUUAUUGAAUAUUUUUUUAGGGCAUUUUCUUGGAAUUUAUAAAGAUUUUAUUUCAGGUCAAGGUGCAGCUUAUAAUUAAGGGGAGAUGGAUUACAUUAUUAUAAGAUAAACGUAUUAUAAUUUUGGAAUAUUUAUAUGAAGGUGGAUUUAAUAGUAAUUUUUUGUAGAUUGUAAAUAUGAUUUAAGCUCUAAAAUAUGCACACAUCGCCCGUCACUCUCGUUAAAAAUUUAAAGUGAGAUAAGUCGUAACAAAGUAGGUGUACCGGAAGGUGUAGCUAGAAUGAA